GGCAGCCAGAGUCUGGCCUCCUGUAGCUGUUCCAUCAGUGGAUGCAGACUUAACCAGUGCCCAAUGCAUACUGGUUAAUUUCAACUCCACUGGUCACAGGGAAGGGAGACUUUGGUAGGAG
ensembl:miRNA